CAAUAGCGUAUAUUAAAGUUGUUGCAGUUAAAAAGCUCGUAGUUGGAUUUGUGGCGUACGACGGGCUCCGGGCACUUGUUGUCUGAGUAGCUUGUCGUUGCCAUCCUUGGGUGGAACCUGUGUGGCAUUUGGUUGUCGUGCAGGGGAUGCCCAUCUUUUACUGUGAAAAAAUUAGAGUGUUCAAAGCAGGCUUAUGCCGUUGAAUAUAUUAGCAUGGAAUAAUAAGAUAGGACUUUGUCGCUAUUUUGUUGGUUUGCGCGAUAAGGUAAUGAUUAAUAGGGACAGUUGGGGGUAUUCGUAUUCCAUUGUCAGAGGUGAAAUUCUUGGAUUUUUGGAAGACGAACUACUGCGAAAGCAUUUACCAAGGAUGUUUUCAUUAA
rnacentral:rRNA from 1 species